rnacentral:lncRNA from 1 species
ACUUGAGCGUCGGAGGGUCUUGCCGGAGCAACCCCACCUCCGAUUUAGACUUCUUUUGCAGGUCCCGGCGGCGACCGCGACUCCCUCGACUCCAGCAUCUCUGGUGCAAGCGGAUUUCUGCACCAACAAGAUUGGCGCUAGAGGAAGGGGCCUGUGUCUUCGCAGUACCCUUGUUCUUGAAGGAGCACUCAAUGGGACCACCUCUGGUCAUCUUCUCCGACAUCCACUCCUCCUUCUCCCACCUGAUCAUCGCUCGAUGCCUCCCCGCAGGGCAUCCACAUGGCGAUCUACGGCCUCCGC